GUCGGGCGCUGUGGAACAUGCCUGUAGCUGGGGAGGCUCAGGUGGGAGGAUCGCCUGAGCCCAGGAGUUCUGGGCUGUAGUGUGUCAUGCUGAUCAUGUGUCCACACUAAGUUCGGCAUCAAUAUGGUGACCUCCUGGGAGCGGGGGACCACCAGGUUGCCUAAGGAGGGGUGAACCGGCCCAGGUUGGAAAUGGAGCAGGUCAAAACUCGGAUACUGAUCAGUAGUGGGAUUGCGUCUGUGAAUAGCCACUGCACUCCAGCCUGGGCAACACAGCCAGACCCUGCCUCU
rnacentral:SRP_RNA from 1 species